CGGGCAGGCACCUCGCCAACCUGGUCAGGGCCGGAAGGCAGCAGCCACAACGAGACUCGCUUGGGUCGUCGUCCAGCCUC
rnacentral:SRP_RNA from 1 species